ensembl:lncRNA
UACACUAUCUAUCUAUCUAUCUAUCUAUCUCGUCUGUCUCUGUUUUGAUCUGUGUAUUCGUCUAUCUGUUGAGUGUCUAUAUACAUUCACAUGAUGGACUUCGAAUUUGAAGAAGAGCUGAGAAAUACUGAUGAGCUCCUUGAAAACUUACAAGCUCGAGAGGGAAGACUGGGCAAAAGCAAUGUGCACCCUCUACCCUCACCCCCUACUGUUCAGUGGAGAAAGAGGGACAGCCAAGGGGAAAUACUUUACAAAUAUCCAAGAGCCAAAAGGGCAGCAACUGUAGAAAGCAAGUAUAAUGUACUUACUAAUGUACUUACUGUAAACGCAAAUCUCUCUCUCUCUCUCUCUCUCUCUCUCUCUAUAUAUAUAUAUAGUAUAUAUAUAUAUAUGAAGCAUUCAUACUUUUUUUUUUCUUCUUAAUUGUUUGCUAUGCAGUAUUUAAAAUGAUGUCAAAUUGUGCUUCUGUUUUGUAAAUAGGACUAAAAAGAGACCACACCAAUAUUUCAGGUAAUGCUUACAUAAAAAUUAUGUUGUGUAUAUGUGUAUUUCUUUUGUGUUUAUUUCCUUCUUACAUUUGUUCUGGCAGGUCCAUUUGUUAUGGAAGAUGACUUGAAUGGUGGCCCUGCAAAUGCCUCUGAAACAGCUGGUAUACACUGAAAAAAAUAUUGCUUUAUGAUUUAUAUUUAAUGGACUUUUUUAUAUAAAUCUGAAUAUUUUCAUCAUUAGACUUUUAAGUGCAUGCACAGGUAUAUACUGCUCACAUGUAAAUCUUGACUUUUGAAAAAAUAUGUUUAUGUUUAUGAAUUUAACUUAGAUACUAUUCUUGAAGAGCUAAAGAGGCUGUUGGACACUAAGGAAGAUGCAAAUGUUGUCCCAAUUCAAGAUCAUCAACCUCGGUCUAUAUCUAAUGACUGGGCCAUUAGAACUGAAAUGAGGGAGGAGAGAUGGAAAGAAGCUAGAUCUUCUCUUGUGGAGAACAUUUUGAAAGGAGAAGAUGCAAGCUCCUCAUCCUGCCAACAGUGCAGAUCAAAUGCAGCUGUUGUGCGCUGUAGGGACUCCCUUACCCUUUCCUCUGUGCAGAAUGUGAUGAGAAACGUCAUGGUAGCUUCUUUGUUCUCCACAAUAGAGAUUCACUUGUCUCAGGUUUUGUACAACCUUUACCUCCAUCAACAGGAUUCUUCCAGGCAGCUGGUCAAAUUUCUGUUAAACAUCUUGAAGGCUCUGCAAAUGCAGCAACACAGCUUGGAAGAACUGAAGACAGAGCUUUCACUGCAUGAAGAUUGUGUUCAUCAGUGGGUUUCAGAUGUUCAACAAUGGGCAGAAGGUAUUAUUUUGAUUUGCUUUGUAAUUAUUCUUAUCAUUGGCAGGUAAUAUAUAUAGAUGCUUUUGCAUUUUCUUGUGUAGAAAGUGACCGACAUGGGAGUGGUGAUAUGAGAUGACUUCAAGAGGAAAUAGAAGGUCUAACAGUCAGCAUCAAAAGGCGUACACAGCGUCUGUACAGUCAAACAGGUGAAACACAAACAUUGGGAAUUUACCAUGUUGUUUUUUACUAUAUAUCAUUAGAUGUUAAUUGAAUAUGCAUUUUUUAGUAGCUAAAAGAGUGCUGUAAUGGCUAAAAAUAAUUAGAAAAAACAUUAAUUCUAUUCAGAUAGCAACAAGCGGCGCCAUUCUUUGCGCCUCAGAAGGACUGAAGAGAAAAAGAAGCUAGUUGCUGCAGUGGAAGAGUACAACAGCAUAGCAGAUCCAUCCCAGAAGCUUGGCUCAGUUGAAGACUUCUUCACAGCUGAAACUGUUGCUUGGCCUUGGCAAAUCCCUAGCAGUACUGGUAUGUUCUAUAUAACAGGGCAAUUCAAUUAUGUUCCCAGAGGACCACCACCAGCAUAAUUCAGUUCCAACCCUAAUCAAACACAACUGCCUGUAAUAAUCAAGCAAUCCUGAAGGCCUUGACCAGGAACAGAAUUGAAAAGUCAUAUUCUGUAAGACAAGUAUAUACCAAUGUUUUUUUUAAUGAGCAGGCACCUCAUAUAAUGACUCUUUUGUUUUGACAAACAGAAUCGGCUCCCUUUCUCACCAAGAGGAAGGUGUUUGACAAGGUGAUGGCAGUGAGACGCCUUCAGGAAGAGAGAGGUCUAAUUUGUAAGGAGAUGAAACAGCACUGGAAGGUCAUGACACAGAAGAUUUCCAAAUUCGAAGCACUGAUUAAUGACAUAAGUUCAAAAUGUAAGAAAGUCUUCAAACAUUCUUUUUUUUAACAAUUGAUAUAUAGUAUUUUAUUUUUUGAUAAUGUUUCCUUUUGUUUUUCAGCUCUUUUUCCAACCCUGACUGACACUGCAUGCAAAGGUCUCCUCUGCAUUGUUCGAAAGAAACAUUAUGAACUUAAACAUUUAAUGCAGUUGGUAAAGGCAGGCUAUGUGAAAAUCUUCAGCCAACAAGAUUUUAUGUCUGAAGAAGAAAAGCUUGAACCGGAAGAUGACGUGCAAGAGGAAGAGCUUACAGAAAGCGACUACAGCUCCGAUGAUGAAAAUGAUUUUCCUUAAUUGAACAAAUGUAACGUUUAUUUACAUAACCCCCCCCCCCCCCCCCCAAAAAAAAAGAUAAUUGAAAUGUGAAUCAGACUUUUGCCUUUAAAUGUCACAUAGAGCAAUUCGAUCAGAAGGCCUGUUUGUCUGUCGAUGUUGAUUGUGUCAACUGUUCUGUAACUACUUGAUGUGUCUUUGAACAAUAACCUAAUAAAUUACACGUGGCUAAUUACACAUCUAACAAAACUACUCUCAUGAUUUAAAUCAAUGGAGCUGUCUACACUUAAAAGAUCCAGUUAUGCAGUUUACAUUCAGUGUGUC